UGGCGGACGGGUGAGUAACGCGUGGAAAACCUGCCGUAUACUGGGGGAUAACACUUAGAAAUAGGUGCUAAUACCGCGUAAGCGCACAGCUUCGCAUGAAGCGGUGUGAAAAACUCUGGUGGUAUACGAUGGUUCCGCGUCUGAUUAGCUAGUUGGUGGGGUAAUGGCCUACCAAGGCAACGAUCAGUAGCCGGCCUGAGAGGGUGAACGGCCACAUUGGGACUGAGACACGGCCCAAACUCCUACGGGAGGCAGCAG
rnacentral:rRNA from 1 species